ensembl:lncRNA
GUCAGUACCUUAUUCAAUGUCCAGGGUACUGGAGUGGUUGUAUAUACAGGUCAGUUCCUUAUUCAAUGUCCUGGAGGGGUGGAGGUGGGUUUAUACAUAAAAAGUGAUUGGUGGGGGGCCUCCCGGGUGGCACAGUGGUUAAGGGCGUAAAAUAAAAUACAUUUUAAAAAGUGAUUGGACGUAGGAUGCACAUAAACAUGGCUGAAAGGUGACUGGUUGGUAGCAGGAAUAUAUACAUAUUUAUGAUAAUAUAUUAACGGGAACAUAGUGAUAUUUAUUAUAAUCUGCAACAUUUCAACUUCUAAAAUACAUAGAGUCCUUGUAAUUUACAGCAUCGCUCAGUCAACAAAACAUUUGCUAAAGUUGCCCAAUUAGCGGGAGGGCUGGGGGAAAGAUCUGUGUCGCACACAGUGCUCAAGUCUAUGACGUCUGUCAGUCAAAACCCCGGCACAGGGUAUGUUACUGUAUAGCAUGUUACUGUAUAGCAUGUUACUGUAUAGCAUGUUACUGUAUAGCAUGUUACUGUAUAGCAAAGUUGGGUCGAAGCUCUGAAGACGACAGCAUUACGGUACGGCGCCAUCUUAUGGAAAACAUGGACACUGUUACAGGAGAAUAGAUUGGAUCGCAGCGGCUUUCCGCCGUGGGAAAACCAGAUGAUCUGAGAUGCAAAAUCCCAUCUAAAGUCAAGAAUCCAGUGGCUUGAUUUAUUAAAACUAAAAGUUUUUAUUUGUAAAAUUCAAAAUAAUACAUUCAGAUAAUAACAAAGGUUCCAAUAUUCAAAACAUGUGUGCCUUCACAGUAUCUCAAGCAUUUGCCCUAACCAGCAAGCCUUACUUCCUGUCUCUAAAUUCCCAAUUUACAUAUCUGGGCGGGCCCGCCAGUAUUUCUAACUGUUUCUGGCUAGAGGGCGUAAUUGACCGUUUCGCAUUUAAAUCAAAAGACCACAUAACCAAAUUAAUGUAUACACCUUAUAUAGAAUCGAAAUGAUUCUAAAUGGUGCAAUAUGACCUAAUAAACAGAUAUUUGCAUAACCAAAGAAAGAUAGAAACUGGCUCCAACAGGGGAAGAAAGAGAAGAUGGGAAUGUGCCCUGUUUCUUUGUUUGUUGUAAUUUACAACUUCAUAUAAAGCUUGGAAAUGAAAGCUUGAGAGUUAAACUGAACUGCUUCAGCAAAGACUCAUGGGAAAGGAGAAAGGAGGAGUGUGUUGGUCUGGAAAUAACAGCUGAUUAGAAAGGUUGAGAAUGAGAUUCAAAUGCAGGUUGUGUCAGUGGCCCUGCGCUACCAAAGGUUUUAAACUGGAUAUGAUCUACUAUGAAACUGAACUGCUAUAGCAAAGGAAUCCAAGCUGGACAAUUACCUAACAGCUAGUCUCUCGUGUCAUGACAGACUUCUAGGUUCCGAGACGACAGCCUUCUAGGUUCCGAGACGACAGACUUCUAGGUUCCGAGGUGACAGCCUUCUAGGUUCCGAGGUGACAGACUUCUAGGUUCCGAGACGACAGCCUUCCAAGAUUAGCCUUCAGAGUCUUAAAACGACAUUGUAUUUAUAAUACUGAGUCAUCAUGUUUGUUGCUUUGCAUUGCAUUCAAAUUGAAGGCUUGAAUUCUUGAUUUGCCUCUAGAAUAAACGUGGGAGUUUUAUACCAUGCCAUGGUUUUACAGCUGCUGUCUUGCCAUUGUAAUAAUAUAGCUCGUAAAUAAUUACAAUAUCAUCAUUCAAAAAUAAUCUCUUUUUAUAUGUGGUUAUUUACAGUAAUUUAUUAGCUUCAAUAGAAACAUGGGCUUCCCACAUUAUGUUAAAGAAGAACAUAAUGCCCUGCAUCUAAAUAUACUUGUAUGUUAUAUGGGUAUCUGACAUUCAUUCAAUGGAAAAUGAAGAAAUAAUAAGAUAUUGUCAAGGAAAUGUAUAGUCUUUCAUUUGUCCUGUCUAGAUAGGAAUAUCACAAGCAAAUCAGGUAUGUCUAUGGUGCAGUGUAUGUUACGCAUGAACGUGUAUACUUUGUUAGACAAUUCUGUGCAUUAUCUGUACUGCCUACUAAUGCUAUACUGUACAUCCUGAAAAGAUAAGCUACUGAGGAUUAGCUCCUGCAUUCACCACCCAUGAGUGGUCUAGCUAUAAUGUUUGUUCCCGUAGUUCAAAAUGUUGUUUUAAAUAAAAUAUUUAUACUCUUUGUUGUCUUACAAUGAUUUAAAUACAAUUUUGUGACUUUGGCCCACAUACAGCUGCUCUGGUCGCCUUGUGUUUCUGUUACUGUAGAGCUGUGCCACCUGCUGGAGAUAUGAUCAGUGAUUUAUAUAUACACUAGAUGACUUGUAUGGGGGUGGUGUGUUGAUGCCACCGUGCCUCCAUCUUGGCUCUCCCCCACCAGUGUUUUGAUGCCACCGUGCCUCCAUCUUGGCUCUCCCCCACCAGUGUGUUGAUGCCACCGUGCCUCCAUCUUGGCUCUCCCCCACCAGUGUUUUGAUGCCACCGUGCCUCCAUCUUGG